CGAUAGUUGUCUCUGUGUUGUAAAUCUUUUUCAUUAAAGUUUCAGGUUUGACAACGUCUGUCGGACCCGCUAGUGAUAUCGAAAAUUCUCUGGUUGAGUAGUUGGGAAAAGAAGGAUAAAUUUAAUGUCGCACGAAUCAUGGAGAAAACAUGAUGCAAAAAUGUGCGUGUUACAGUUAUCGAUUGAGCGCACUGCACGUGCUUCAUACCCGGUUGAAAAAACUACGUUACAUCAUCAGCAGUGGCAUAGAUGUGCGAGGGCAGAUUCUCCGACCAGUGUCAUCUAAGAAUGUCACUCAUAGGUGACAAAUGCGAUCAAUCACGCCGGCAAAUACCUUUUACGCAUCACAGGCGGCAAUCGCAUUCCGCGAUGGAAAUAUCAUUUAAAUGUCACGCACCCUUGAAACAUCUCGAUUGCGUCUUGAUUCGCACGAUUUCCAAUAUGAGAAAAUCACAUCAAAUUUAAAUUGUCGGCUUCAUAUUUCUCCAGCGAUUUUAACUAGCUGGAGUACGACGUUGCGAAAGCGAACAACUCUUGAGCACAAUUACAAUACAAUUGGAGGACAAAUAAUGCAGUGCGUUUAUAAAUAUUUAUAAGCGCAUCGAGGCUGACUGCUUGAACGUCCAAGGCUAAACAAACAAGAUCAGCUGUUUACGAUCCGCCUAUCCCUAAUCUUGCAAAUUAUAUGCAGCGCUACUUAUAAGUGCAUGGACGUCGAUUAUAAAUUAUGUAUGGGUUAAUUAUCGCGAGCGAAACUUCCGCAAAAUGAAACGCAUUUAUGAACUGCAGGAUUAUGAAGUUACGUACACACAAAAGUAGUUCGACAAGAUUAUAUUUAACAUCGUCCAGGGCAGCCUUAAAGUUGCAGUUAGUACCUACUGAGGACCACGUUUACUUUUAAUCAACUUUAACAAAAACAAUAAAUGAAUGCUAUUCACAAUUGAAA